GACGAAGGGGGCUAGCGUUGUUCGGAAUUACUGGGCGUAAAGGGCUCGUAGGCGGCCAACUAAGUCAUACGUGAAAUCCCUCGGCUUAACCGGGGAACUGCGUCUGAUACUGGAUGGCUUGAGUUCGGGAGAGGGAUGCGGAAUUCCAGGUGUAGCGGUGAAAUGCGUAGAUAUCUGGAGGAACACCGGUGGCGAAGGCGGCAUCCUGGACCGAUACUGACGCUGAGGAGCGAAAGCCAGGGGAGCAAACGGG
rnacentral:rRNA from 1 species